rnacentral:rRNA from 1 species
AAUUUUGGACAAUGGGGGAAACUCUGAUCCAGCCAUCCCGCGUGUAUGAUGAAGGCCUUCGGGUUGUAAAGUACUUUUGGCAGAGAAGAAAAGGUAUCCCCUACUACGGGAUACUGCUGAGGCCAUCUGCAUAACAAGCACCGGCUAACUACGUGCCAGCAGCCGCGGUAAUACGUAGGGUGCAAGCGUUAAUCGGAAUUACUGGGCGUAAAGGGUGUGUAGACGGUUCGGAAAGAAAGAUGUGAAAACCCAGGGCUCAACCUUGGAACUGCAUUUGUAACUGCCGAGCUAGAGUAUGGCAGAGGGGGGUAGAAUUCCAAGUGUAGCAGUGAAAUGCGUAGAUAUGUGGAGGAAUACCGAUGGCGAAGGCAGCCCCCUGGGAUAAAACUGACGCUCAGACACGAAAGCGUGGGGAGCAAACAGG